CCACAUAUCAUCGGGGGGGAAACUUCGGUUUCCCCUGUCUGAACCCUUGUCUUUUGCGUACUAUUUGUUUCCUUGGUAGGCUUGCCUGCCGAUAGGACAACCAUUAAACCUUUUGUAAUUGCAAUCAGCGUCAGAAAAACAUAAUAAUUA
rnacentral:misc_RNA from 1 species